GCGAUUUUCGUCUGCUUUAUCGUCUGCAUUAUCUGAUAUAAAUCUUAUCAUGGACGAAGAAAUAAAAAAAGGAACCCGUGCACUCGUUAUGAAACCUAUAAAAAUAUAAAAAAAGAUAUAUCUGGGAGUCAAUGGAACAGUAUUCUGUUCACACAAGAACAUACAACACAAUAAAAUAAAACCAUAUUAGUUCAAAAAGUAUACAGUAUCAGUACGCGUUGCAAAGAAAAACGGCCGUAGCAACACAACUCGCAACAAAUAGGCCAC
rnacentral:lncRNA from 1 species